rnacentral:rRNA from 1 species
CCUACGGGUGGCAGCAGUGGGGAAUAUUGGGCAAUGGGCGCAAGCCUGACCCAGCAACGCCGCGUGAAGGAAGAAGGCUUUCGGGGUGUAAACUUCUUUUAAGAGGGAAGAGCAGAAGACGGUAGCUCUUGAAUAAGCCACGGCUAACUACUGGCCAGCAGCCGCGGUAAUACGUAGGUGGCAAGCGUUGUCCGGAUUUACUGGGUGCAAAGGGCGUGUAGCCGGGCUGACAAGUCAGAUGUGAAAUCCGGGGGCUCAACUCCCGAACUGCAUUUGAAAAUGUUGGUCUUGAGUAUCGGAGAGGCAGGCGGAAUUCCUAGUGUAGCGGUGAAAUGCGUAGAUAUUAGGAGGAACACCAGUGGCGAAGGCGGCCUGCUGGACGACAACUGACGGUGAGGCGCGAAAGCGUGGGGAGCAAACAGGAUUAGAUACCCGUGUAGUC